UGUGUGUGUGUGUGUGUGUGUGUGUGUGUGUAUUCAUACAUGUUUGUGCUGAUCUACUUGUGUUUUUUUCAAGGCAUAUGCUAGCAUUUUCAUUGCACAUGUGUGUAUAUGUGUAUGUGUGCAUGCAGUGUGUGUGCGUGUGUGUGUGUGUGUGUGUGUGUGUGUGUGCGGGUGUCAUCCUGAAAAAGAUAGCCUGCACUAUGUCACGUCUUGUCCUCAUAUAACCCCACAUUCAGAGAGGGGUGGCCCCAACCCCACUGUCUCUGCACGCAGCCAGCUGCCACCCAGCUGUGCAGGAGAACCACUCUCAUCCACGGUCACAAACCUGACAGGGAAACUAAGCUUAUUAGAUCAUUAUUGUUCAUACACUUCCUUUUCCUACUUCUGUAUUUCAUUUCUUUUGACGAUAUUCCUCCGGACCAAUAGAGUAUGUUUCUUAUAUUCCUCAGCACCAAUAGAGUAUGUUUCUUAUAUCCCUCAGCACCAAUAUAGUAUGUUUCUUACACUCGGACAAGUAUGACAGAGCGGCAGUGAGAAUGAGGGGUUCUGAGGAUAGAAGGUGAGGUCAGUGAAUAACUGGACUGAAUGUUCUGAGGAUGGAAGGUGAGGUCAGUGAAUAACUGGACUGAAUGUUCUGAGGAUGGAAGGUGAGGUCAUUGAAUAACUGGACUGAAUGUUGCGGCAUCGAUCAGUAAGGGACAUUUGUGUGAAUAUGUUUAACUAAUGGAAGUGCCUGUGCUAUUCAUUUUACAUUUACAUUUAGUCAUUUAGCGGACGCUUUUGUCCAAAGCGACGUACAAGGGAGCUAUCCCAAGUUCAUCAUGAUUUGUUUUUUGUCUGGAAGGUCUGAAGUUUUGAAAUUGAUUUUCCCACUUCUAGAAAACUCUUGACUUGCUGUGUAGGUAACCUGCUAGCCCCAGUGUUAGAUACUAUAUACAACAGUAGAGCUGUUUGAUGGCAGCGGUGGUGGUGAUGAUUUUGGUGGUGGUGAUGAUUUUGGUGGUGGUGAUGAUUUUGGUGCUGGUGAUUUUGGUGCUGGUGAUUUUGGUGCUGGUGAUUUUGAUGGUGGUGAUUUUGGUGGUGAUGAUUUUGGUGCUGGUGAUUUUGGUGCUGGUGAUUUUGGUGGUGAUGAUUUUGAUGGUGGUGAUUUUGGUGGUGAUGAUUUUGAUGGUGGUGAUUUUGGUGGUGGUGAUUUUGGUGGUGGUGAUUUUGAUGGUGGUGAUUUUGGUGGUGAUGAUUUUGGUGCUGGUGAUUUUGAUGGUGGUGAUUUUGGUGGUGGUGAUUUUGAUGGUGGUGAUUUUGGUGGUGGUGAUUUUGUUGUGUGCUGGGCUGAGACGGAUUUCUAACUAGCAUGUACCACUCUUAUGCUAAAUGGCCAAAUGCAAUCUGUAUUCGCUGAAGCUGAAUCUGUUUAUACAGAAGCCUUGUCUUGUCUGUCUACCGUCUUCCACCAUCAUUGUAUUUAAACUACCAUACCACCACCAUUGAAUCUGAACACUUAUAAUUAAAAAGCCUAUCAUAGACAGUAGUUCGUAUAAUCUUACAGAUCCCUUCGGUCAGUCAUCUUAAUUUCAUCAUUCGGUCAUCAUUUAAUUCUCUCUUUAUCUUCAAAAAUCAAAAUGGAAAUCUUUAAUAAUUAACAUGCAUGACUAUGAAUGAAUAUUUAAAGAAAACGAUGUUCUGCCCUGCAGUGCUCUCUUCUUUCACACAGCACACAACCUGUGAAGAAUGAGAAGCUGAACUUGUGUCCAUGAAUUGUUCUCGCAUUGACAAGAAGCUUUUAAAGCUUUUAUUUAUAGUAGAUCUCACAUGUGUAGGACAGACGAUGUCUGCCAACCCACUGGCUCCCAGACAAUCCUCAACGCAAGACCUGCAUGGUCAGCUUGGCCAAGGCAUGGUUGCCAUAGUGACUCUGUUGUUGGAAAACCAAUGACGUGCCACACAUUACUCUUAAGCUUUUUGCAAACAAGGACAAAUACAAAUCCUUCCCAAAGUCUUCCUUUGUUUGGAAGAGAGCACGAUAUCCAACACUAGCAAAUAUUGGCACAGCUUGGCAUCUAAAUCCCUCAUCUUUUCCCUCAAAGCCUGUAAAAGGGGAUUCUUUUACAGAGAUAGGGAGGGAAACACCGAAAUAUUGUGGUUUAAAAAUAGAAAUACGGUACAUGAAGAUCUUACUCAAAUACGUGGUGUACUACUGUGUGCUAUAGUGUUUGUUGAGUACAGUUUGCCCGAGCUAGUGUCCACGCUGUUUUGAAAAGCUGUCUCGCUCUCGCUGUUAGCGCUCGCUAAGUCCUGAUCCUGUUAAUAGAAAUACAUCAGCGUUUGGACCAGGGGCCAGAGGGAGAUGGGGUGCUUAAUCUGUUAACUGCAUCACUCUCAAAGAAAUGGACACAUCAGACAUCAGACUACCGUAGAACAUAGCCUAGAAGAUUAUGGGAAACAACUUCAUAUGGACAAAUUCAUGACUGUGUGUGUGUGUGUGUGUGUGUGUGUGUGUG
ensembl:lncRNA